AACGAACGCUGGCGGCAGGCCUAACACAUGCAAGUCGAGCGCACCCUUCGGGGUGAGCGGCGGACGGGUGAGUAACGCGUGGGAACGUGCCCUUCUCUGCGGAAUAGCCUCGGGAAACUGAGAGUAAUACCGCAUACGCCCUUUGGGGGAAAGAUUUAUCGGAGAAGGAUCGGCCCGCGUUGGAUUAGGUAGUUGGUGGGGUAAUGGCCUACCAAGCCGACGAUCCAUAGCUGGUUUGAGAGGAUGAUCAGCCACACUGGGACUGAGACACGGCCCAGACUCCUACGGGAGGCAGCAGUGGGGAAUCUUAGACAAUGGGGGCAACCCUGAUCUAGCCAUGCCGCGUGAGUGAUGAAGGCCUUAGGGUUGUAAAGCUCUUUCAGCUGGGAAGAUAAUGACGGUACCAGCAGAAGAAGCCCCGGCUAACUCCGUG
rnacentral:rRNA from 1 species